rnacentral:rRNA from 1 species
GAUAAACGCUGGCGGCGUGCCUAAUGCAUGCAAGUCGAACGGUCCUUCACCUUUCGGGGUGAAGGAUAGUGGCGAACGGGUGAGUAACGCGUAAGUAACCUGCCCCUAAGUGGGGAAUAACCUCGGGAAACUGGGGCUAAUACCGCGUGUGGUGGUGAGGGUAAGGCUUCAUCACUAAAGCCUUCGGGCGCUUAGGGAGGGGCUUGUGUCUGAUUAGCUAGUUGGUGGGGUAACGGCCUACCAAGGCGAUGAUCAGUAGCUGGUUUGAGAGGACGGUCAGCCACAUUGGGACUGAGACACGGCCCAGACUCCUACGGGAGGCAGCAGCAAGGAAUUUUGUGCAAUGGGCGAAAGCCUGACACAGCAACGCCGCGUGGGGGAUGAAUGCCUUCGGGUUGUAAACCCCUUUUCUCAGGGACGAAUGAUGACGGUACCUGAGGAAUAAGCCUUGGCUAACUACGUG